AUGUGGGGCCUCCCUCUGGCCCCCUCCCCGGCGCCACCUCGUCUGGCUUCCUACGUGCACUCGGGAGGGAUGCCCAACCCCUCCUUCUGCCUUGCACCCCCCCAUGCCGCAGCACACCCGGCGCCCCUCACUCCUGUCCAAACCUCCUCGCCACUAGGCAACCUCCCCGCCGAGCCCCUAGUGCAGACGUUCCCUCCGGCCCUCUCCCGGGUCCCCGUCGCCAGAGCUUCUCUUUGCAAGGCUGACUCUUUCCCUGCCUCUCUGCACCGCGCCCCCCCCUACCCCGCCCCCGCUAGCUCGGCGGCCUCGGGCUGUAGCGGAUGGGCGGGCGGGCGUCCCGCUUACCUGGGCUGGGCGCAGUGCGCUUUCAGCGUCCCCAGAAUCUGAACAGAGCCGGCUGGCCUGGGUGGGGCUUUUAUAGUCACCACAUCCUCGCGGUGCACUAGAGGCCCGCCCCGCCCCGCCUUCCCUUGCCCCUUCCCCUGCUAGCACCCGGACUUGGGGGUGACUCACCCUUCCCGCCCCGCGCGCCCGCCAGGGCCGCCUCGCCCUGGAACAUUCCCUGGGCCGCGCCAGUGGGAGUGGCCCCGCGCCCACUGCCGUACCCUCCGGUAAAGCGCUGCUGAGACUUCCCCGAGGCCUAUUAGCGGCCUCUUUUUCCUCUUUCUCUGCUUCUCCAGCGCCACGUCGAGUUCUCAGCCCUGCCUCAGGUUCAUAUCAGUACAGUUGCAAGACUUUAGUCGACUAUGAGGUUGGUUAAGUCAUUUUAUUUUUAAGGCUUUCGAUGCAAUGGAAGGAAGAAUAGUUCCAAGAAACAUAAAUCGUGAUUCCCCUGAGCUGGGCCGUUGGCAUCCAGCCCCCGGUUACCGUCUGCAAACAUAUUAGCUUAACCUCUGACCGGCCAUUCCCGGGAGGAGCGCUGGGACGGGGGAGUUCCGCAGUGUCCUGGCUGGCAAAGGAUUCCUCCGCCUUGGGGCGCGUUGGUACACAGGAAGCCACUGUGGCUGUUGGUUAGGGGGUGGGAGGCCGAAGCCAGGAGCAAGAUCCCACCCUCCAGCCCGGGGAGGCGCCCUUUUCCCAAACCUCCCGAGACGCCGGGCCUCCCGCGUGUCGGGCAGCUGUGCAUGUCCUCCUGGCAGGCAGUCCCAGGCUGGGUGGGACCAGUGGCUUUGAACCUUGAGUUCCAACAAAGAAGUUCCUCCCUUCCGUCUUUCCUAACUGGCUUUUUUUUUUUUUCCCUCUCAACCUCAGCUUGCUGGCUUGGUUUUGCUAUUUCUCGCUUGUUUGUUUGUUUGUUUGUUUUCAUUCUCUGCUUCUAUGAACCACCGUGGCAGUAAGCACGCAAAUGUGAUUUUGUGUGUGAUUGUGAAAAUACUGUACUCACACCUCAAAGUAGCCGGAAAGUUNNNNNNNNNNNNNNNNNUCUGCACCUCUGACUUCUUUCCUUUCACACACGUCACGUAGCUCUUUCACCUGAUGCUUCUAUCGAGUUUUAAUCUCCUGUCUCGCUUAACGUCUGUUUUUACUUUCUAGUUGAGCGUCAUUUCAUUCCUGGGAAUUAAGAAAUGGCGAGGCCAAGAAAUCAUUGCCAAGCUCACAGUCAAGUCCAGACCACAAAUGGGGUCUCUAACCACUCAGCCCAGAGCUCACUGUUACCCGUUUCUUCCACUCAUAAUGAAACAUGAUAGACACCGUCAGAAGGACAAAUAGAAAAUAAAGCAAUUCUGUUGAUACAAUCUCUGAUUUACAUUUGUGUUCAGUUGCUAAGUCGUGUCUGCCUCUUUACCACCCCACCAACUGUAGUCCACCAGGCUCCUCUGUUAAUGGGAUUUUUAGGCAAGAAUACUGGAGUGGGUUGCCAUUUUCUUCUUCAGGGGUUCUUCCCCACCCAAAGAUCAAACCUGCCUCUCCUUAAUUGGCAGGCGGACUCUUUACCACUGAGCCAUCAGGGAAGCCCAUUUACCUUUCAGUUCAGCUCAGUUCAGUCCCUCAGUCGUGUCCGACUCUUUGCUACCCCAUGAAUCGCAGCAUGCCAGGC
rnacentral:lncRNA from 1 species